AGAGUUUGAUCUUGGCUCAGGACGAACGCUGGCGGCGUGCUUAAUACAUGCAAGUAGAACGCUGAAGAGAGGAGCUUGCUCUUCUUGGAUGAGUUGCGAACGGGUGAGUAACGCGUAGGUAACCUGCCUUGUAGCGGGGGAUAACUAUUGGAAACGAUAGCUAAUACCGCAUAACAAUGGAUGACACAUGUCAUUUAUUUGAAAGGGGCAAUUGCUCCAUCUACAAGAUGGACCUGCGUUGUAUUAGCUAGUAGGUGAGGUAAUGGCUCACCUAGGCGACGAUACAUAGCCGACCUGAGAGGGUGAUCGGCCACACUGGGACUGAGACACGGCCCAGACUCCUACGGGAGGCAGCAGUAGGGAAUCUUCGGCAAUGGGGGCAACCCUGACCGAGCAACGCCGCGUGAGUGAAGAAGGUUUUCGGAUCGUAAAGCUCUGUUGUAAGUCAAGAACGGGUGUGAGAGUGGAAAGUUCACACUGUGACGGUAGCUUACCAGAAAGGGACGGCUAACUACGUGCCAGCAGCCGCGGUAAUACGUAGGUCCCGAGCGUUGUCCGGAUUUAUUGGGCGUAAAGCGAGCGCAGGCGGUUUGAUAAGUCUGAAGUUAAAGGCUGUGGCUCAACCAUAGUUCGCUUUGGAAACUGUCAAACUUGAGUGCAGAAGGGGAGAGUGGAAUUCCAUGUGUAGCGGUGAAAUGCGUAGAUAUAUGGAGGAACACCGGUGGCGAAAGCGGCUCUCUGGUCUGUAACUGACGCUGAGGCUCGAAAGCGUGGGGAGCGAACAGGAUUAGAUACCCUGGUAGUCCACGCCGUAAACGAUGAGUGCUAGGUGUUGGAUCCUUUCCGGGAUUCAGUGCCGAAGCU
rnacentral:rRNA from 1 species